UACGGAGGGUGCAAGCGUUAUCCGGAUUCACUGGGUUUAAAGGGCGCGCAGGCGGAUUGGUAAGUCAGUGGUGAAAGGCUUGAGCUUAACUCGGGAACUGCCAUUGAUACUAUCAGUCUUGAAUAUUGUUGAGGUUUGCGGAAUGGGUCAUGUAGCGGUGAAAUGCAUAGAUAUGACCCGGAACACCUAUUGCGAAGGCAGCAGGCUAAACAAAGAUUGACGCUGAGGCGCGAAAGCGUGGGGAGCGAACAGG
rnacentral:rRNA from 1 species